CCGACAAGUGUUGGUACAAUGGCAACACCGAAAGGGUUCGGAACUUACAUGGGAAUCAGAAGAUGAAAUGCGAAAAUACUACCCUUUUCUCUUUGGUAUGUCAACAUUUAAAUUGUUAUGUACUCAGGUUUCGGGGACGAAACCUCUUUUAAGGAGGGUAGAGUUGUAACACCCCAAAAAUUUAUUUUAAUAUGAGAAUAGGUAAAAUCAUGAAAAUGCUUGAAUUAAACAUUAAACAAGAUUAAAGGGGGGUAAUAUGAAAAAUUUAUCACUUAAUAGGGAUAAAUUAUGUUUUAACUAAAGUUAAAACAUUCUGUACGUGGGGGGAUCGAUCAAGGGCAGGGGAGAAACAAGGUUUGUCACUCGACAUAUUAUUUUCGGCUUUUACGAUUUCAUUCAAUCGUAAUCACUACCCCUGAUUACGUCUACCUUGUUAGGCCUUAUAUAGGCCUCAUUCAAUCAUAAAAUAGGCUUUCAAACGACUCGGGGACUCGAAAUGCGAAAAAUGACAUAAAUUAAAAAGGUGGGUAAAGAUUGAAAUGUAAGAAUAUGAAUUCAGUAAAUGCAGACUAAUGAACUAUGAUAUAAUGAAAGGCAUGUAAUGGUGUUAAAAGAACCUCACGAAAUAAAUGAUGAAACGUAGAGAAUUAAAAACUUGCAAUGGCAUGAUUACAAACGUUGUAAUCAAAGGUUGAAGUAUGUGUUAUAUUGAAAGCUUGUGAAUUAUAAUUUUAGUUCCCGUACUUCUCAUAAAUGCCCGUUUUAUGUUUUUGUCAAGUUAAUAGAAGAUAUAAUAAGUUAUGUAAAGUUACGUUGAUCAUUGGCGAUAAGGUAAAAUUUAUAAAAGUCGAAUGUAACGUAUGGAAUGGCAUGAAAUGAAUGACACAUGUAUAAAGUGGAGUUGGAAAUGUAUGAUGAUGAAUAAUGAAGGAAGUAAAUAUAGACUAAAGUACUUAGAUAUGUGAAGGGACCGGAAUUUGUUAAUAAAUGAAUAUAAGAAUGGUGAGAAUAGUGGUGGAAGUAAAUUAAAGAAUGUGAGUUAGAUGGAAUUGGUAUGAAAAUUCAGAUGAAUGUAUGCUUUGAUCAGAAUUAUGCAUUAGAGGCUUGUACCUUGUACUUGAAUGGUGUGAUGCUUAUGUAUAUUUAAUUAUUUGCCUUGUUACGAUUAAGAGGCGAAUAUGUGCUAAAUGCGAAUCAUAUGAGCUUACUAGUAAAGGAUACGUUGGAAUUAUGUUAUAUAGUUAAUUUGAAUGAUAAUUACUAUUUGUAGAAUCAUGAAGCAUUAGCACGUGAAAGUACGUGAAAGUGAAUGCAUAUAUGUGUAUUGUUUCGAGGAUUACGUAAAUUGUAUGUAUGAAAUACGAAGAAUAUUAAUAUUACGGUCUAUCGUAUUUAGAUGAUUACAUGUUCAAAAGCUUGAAGUGUGUAAGCAAGACAGUUGACUAUCUAAGAGUCAACAUAAUAGGGAUAUCAUGAAAUGGUCAUUGGACACAAAUGCUAAAGUAAAGAGUUAAUGUAUUAUGUAUUAAGUGAUUUACGUGUUAUGCUUGAUGAUAGAUUAGUUGUAUGGAUUUGAAAUGAGAUAACUAUUAAUAAAUGUCUCGUUUAUACGUUAAUUGACUUUCGUUAGUACCUCUCGAUGACAUUGAGUUGGACAAGGGGUUGAAUUAUGUCGAAAUACCAAUAGCUAUUAACGAUGUCAAGGUAAAGAAGCUCCGCAACAAGGCGGUCCGACAAGUGUUGGUACAAUGGCAACACCGAAAGGGUUCGGAACUUACAUGGGAAUCAGAAGAUGAAAUGCGAAAAUACUACCCUUUUCUCUUUGGUAUGUCAACAUUUAAAUUGUUAUGUACUCAGGUUUCGGGGACGAAACCUCUUUUAAGGAGGGUAGAGUUGUAACACCCCAAAAAUUUAUUUUAAUAUGAGAAUAGGUAAAAUCAUGAAAAUGCUUGAAUUAAACAUUAAACAAGAUUAAAGGGGGGUAAUAUGAAAAAUUUAUCACUUAAUAGGGAUAAAUUAUGUUUUAACUAAAGUUAAAACAUUCUGUACGUGGGGGGAUCGAUCAAGGGCAGGGGAGAAACAAGGGUUACCUUGUUCUUGCAAGAAUUCACCAAUUGACAAGGAGAAAUCAAGGUUUAAUUGCUGCAUGUGCUGAAACUUCAAACAUCUAAGUAUAUCUAGUAAAGUGGUAAGCUGAAUUUUUGAUUUUGAUGAUGUUUACAAUUAGGGUUUCGACCCAAUCAUGGAAUUGUGAUAUGAUUUGUGUUGUUUAGAUGUUAAGGAUACUCCCUAGAGUAGAAAUCAUGCUUGAUUUUAGUUAAUUGAAAGAAAGCCUCUAAAAACCCACUUUGUGAAAUUAUGACUAUGAAUAUGGGGAUUAUAGGAAUGAUGAACAAAUGUAAUUUCACAUGUAAAUCAGCUUGUAGUACCCAAAAGCUAGUUAAAUUGAUGUAGAUAAAAGAGAUUGUAAGAAAUAGAUUGAGUAAUGAUGAUGUAUAGGAUGGAUUAGCAAGUUAUGCUUUAGAUGUUGUACACUAAGCUUUAUUAAGGUAACGCCUACUAGGUGCUCGAUGAAAUGCUUGAAUGAGUAGUUAUGUGUAAAUUGGAAAAAUGAUGGAAUGAAGUUUGGGUACUAAAUGAAUGAUUGAUCAUGUUGAUUUAGGUGUAAAGGAAGAAGGCUCGAAUUCUAAGAAGCCGGAAGGUUCACAAGACCGAGGUAAAUCCUCGACUUAGGCGAUUGGACGACUUGGAACGUGCACACAUGGUUUACGCCCGCUUCUCGCUUCCGUUGUUAAGCCCUUUUUGAAUGUUUUAAGUCUUGGUCUUAUGUAUUCAAGUCUAGUUAGUAUGUUGUCAUCUUUGUCGUUGGGUAAAAUUUGGUAGAUGGAAAUCAUGUCGUGACCAAUGUGGACUUGUUUGUUCGUUUUGGGUUUUUGUCAAAGAUGUUUAAUGUUUAAGUUUGGU
rnacentral:lncRNA from 1 species